GCUACGGCCAUACCAGCCUGGGUACGCCCGAUCUCGUCUGAUCUCGGAAGCUAAGCAGGGUCGGUCCUGGUUAGUACUUGGAUGCGAGACCGCCUGGGAAUACCAGGUGCUGUAAGCA
rnacentral:rRNA from 1 species